UUGGAAAAUUAUGCCGAUAAACAGGAUGGAAUUUGGGAAAAAAUGUUAUAAAUCGAGUGGCUCAUUUACGAUGUGCUCCAAACAUUUGGCGAACUUUUUUUCGCCUUUUCAACGUGCUAAG